CCGGCGAGCCCUCUGACCCACGACAGCCGCAGCUCAGGCAGGAGCUGCUGCGGGGACCUCUGCAUGCUGCUGGACCCAUGCUGAAACAGGGUACCUGGAAGUGCAGUCAGGAGAGGUGAAAUGAGGACCAAAAGAUGGAUGCUGUUGUGAUGGACAGAAGGCCGCAGGCCGGCGGAGCUUUAUUUGGAUGUCUAGAACAAGUGAACGCAGAGACUGGACACAGGCAGUUCAAGAGAGGUUUGGGUGGGUUAAGGCUUUUUUUUUGUUUGUUUCUUUUUUUUUUUUUUUUUUUCCCCGGGGAUUUGGAUUUACAUCCUCUUGUUUUUUUCAGGAGUUCACCCGCCAUGCAGUGUUGAGAUGAAAAGCACAUUAUCCUGGUCCUGGAGUUUAUAAUCCAGCUCACCCUGCAGGCCAAGGAAAAAAUGAAAAAUUGUUUAAAUGUCAUUUCCAAAUACAAGCUGCAAAGAGAAAACAGCUCAUAAAAAGAUGUCUGUGCCCUUUCUAGAUCAAAUAAAGGGGACGCAGGAGCAAUCCCAAAGCUCAUUUGAAUGAAAAGGCACCGUUGCGAGGAUGCUCCAGGAUGACUGCAUUUCCGUACCAAGCAGAAAAGCCAGGUAAUUAAAACCCACGCACGACAGGCGAGCGCAGAGAGCUCAGUGGGAAGGCAGGGAAAGCCAUUCCGGUGCCCCUAGCAGAGGCACUAAACACCUGGGAUCCACUCCAAGCCCCUGAUUCUGAGCAAAGGGAUUCCCCCUCUUUGAUCUUCAGUGUCCUGCAAUUGUCUCUCCUGUUACCAGGGGACCUGGCACACGCUUCAGCUCACAAAGAUCCGUGACGAAUGUUAAACACCCCCAGCGCCACCCCGCAGUCAGGGAUGGCUUGCACAGCUCACUCUGCUCCAUUUCUCUUGCCUUUUUUUUUUUUUCUACCCCCCCUCCAUGAGACUGGCCCCAUUUUGAUAAUAAAAAUACAUUUCCCAGAAGAA